AUGAACAGCAGUGACAGGGUGACGCUGCUGUCUGUGUCCCUGUUGUGUUAAAUUAACUGUGAGGCAAGAGUGUGAACUGACUGAGUUUAUUGUCAAUAUUAUAAUGUUUAACAGAGCUGGGGAGCCAGCUUGGAUCGGACCUGGCCCAGUGAUACCAGAAACCCCCCUCACGCACGAGGGUGCUGCAGAAGAUGAAACAAAAUGAACGUUCAGACACAAAGUCUGGUCCCGACUCCGUCUGGCGGUGUCUGUGGAAGCUGGGAACACCUGCACAGCCCCAGAAGCAGCAGUGUCUCCUCGUAUCUCAAAGAGCAGUGCUGAUCGAUCGACAAGAACAGGAACACCACUGAACUACCACACUGCCUUUCACAGAAGCAGGAAACAGACGUCAGUGUGUAUCUCAGUUGAGAUCACACUAUCUCACACCUCACUUAUCACUUGUCAAGAUUAAUGGAUCCUUUGGAACAGCACAGACUUGACAAACGUGUUCCAGGCCUGCAGAUCCACAUUCUCCAGCUUGAUAUAUGAACACUUUUCAGGACAGAUUCCUCCUGCCUGCCUCUGAGCACUCAGACGUCAGAAGAAACCUCGAGCAAGAGAGAAGCUUCUAGAGCUAGGCAGCUUGUUCCCCCCUCCCACUCCUGUCUGUGUAAAGUAGAGCCUCCUGUCCUGACUGGAGGAGCUCAUCCAGCUGUGUCUGGAGAGAAGCCAGUUGUGUUACAGGACAGUAUACUGUAGCAGUGUAUACUGCGUUGUGUUACAGUACACUAUAGCAGUGUAUACUAUGCUAGUAGUCUAUCCUAGACUGUAUACAUUCCUCCACAGUGUUUGUGUCCAGUCCUGGUCCUGGAGGGGUCCGUCAGUGUGUGUGUCUGAAGCAGGGCUGUACAGUUCUGGUCCUGGAGGGGUCAGUCAGUGUGUCCAGUUCUGGUCCUGGAGGGGUCAGUCAGUGUGUGUGUCCAGUCCUGGUCCUGGAGGGGUCAGUCAGUCAGUGUGUGUCCAGUCCUGGUCCUGGAGGGGUCAGUCAGUCUGUGUCUGCAGCAGGGCUGUCCAGUCCUGGUCCUGGAGGGGUCAGUGUGUGUGUCCAGUCCUGGUCCUGGAGGGGUCAGUCAGUGUGUCCAAUCCUGGUCCUGGAGGGGUCAGUCAGUGCUUUUCUCCCUGUCUGUGUGUCUGUCUCAUGGAGAGCAAGCUGGGCUCUGUGAAAAGACAGGCUCAUUUCUAAUACGAGACGUUGUAUCUGGCCAAUAAAGUGAUCU
rnacentral:lncRNA from 1 species